rnacentral:lncRNA from 1 species
GUUUCUCAAGCACACUGUGAAGGCCCAUCCUCAGGAAGUUCUCUUGAGGAGCCUCGUCAUGGAGGCCACGUGCGUCUAGAUGUAGCUGAAGUCUCAUCUCCAGGGGAGACUCCUCCGUGGACCCAGGCACCCAGCACACCCUUGCGGGCCCCACCCUUCAGCACUGUCACUCCAUGACCUGGAGUCCUCCAUGCCCUACAAUUGCAAGCCUAAGUGCGCACAGAGGAGUGGUGCCCAGGAUGGUCCUUUUGAUGCUUGUCGACUCAGCACUUGAUGGGGCGUUGGGACUCCGCAGCAGCAGCGCAGGGUGCCUGUGUCCCUGUGCACCGUGUCUGCGCUCACGGGCAGGAAAGGUGGCCGGAGACAGGGGUUGUGCAUCCUUUCAAACACUGCUUUUACUUUUACCCACAUCAAAAUAGCAUGGAGCCAUGCAGCAGGCUGUUCACAGGCGGAAUGUGUCUGCUCCACAGCACACCAAUCACAGACAGUUCUCAGGCCGCAGGUAGCCCAUUGGGUGUGGCUCGGCU